rnacentral:rRNA from 1 species
GCCCUGAAAAUGGAUGGCGCUCUAGCGUCGUGCUUAUACCGAGCCGUCAACGGCACAGUGGGCAGCUGUGGAUUUAUCUACUAGCUGCCGUUAAGUCUUGACGAGUAAGAGGGUCACGACGGUGAGCGCAGAAGGGUCGGGGCGUGAGCCUGCCUGGAGCCGCCGUUGGUGCAGAUCUUGGUGGUAGUAGCAAAUACUCUAGCGAGGGCCUGGAGGACUGACGUGGAGAAGGGUUUCUUGUGAACAGCCGUUGCACAAGAGUCAGUCGACCCUAAGCCCUAGGAGAAAUCCGAUGCCGAUGGGUGGCUUAACAUAUGACAUGAGUCAUGAUACAGACCACAGACUGUGACUGUUGUGCUUCACAACUGAAACAGCUCCUUUCGGGCGAAAGGGAAUCCGGUUCCUAUUCCGGAACCUGGCUGCGUAACCGCUACUUUGCGGGCACUUGUUCGCGAGCGCUCGUCGGGGUAACCCAAACUGGCCUGGAGACGCCGGCGGGGGGUCUGGAAAGAGUUUUCUUUUCUUUAUAAGCGUUCGAGUACCCUGGAAUUCUAUAGCAGAGAGAUAGGGUUUGGAACGCGAAGAGCACCGCAGUUGCGGCGGUGUCCGGACCUUCCCCCCGGACCUUGAAAAUCCAGGUGAGGGCCACGCGGAAGUCG